rnacentral:rRNA from 1 species
GACGAACGCUGGCGGCGUGCUUAACACAUGCAAGUCGAACGGAAAGGCCCUGCUUUUGUGGGGUGCUCGAGUGGCGAACGGGUGAGUAACACGUGAGUAACCUGCCCUUGACUUUGGGAUAACUUCAGGAAACUGGGGCUAAUACCGGAUAGGAGCUCCUGCUGCAUGGUGGGGGUUGGAAAGUUUCGGCGGUUGGGGCUGGACUCGCGGCUUAUCAGCUUGUUGGUGGGGUAGUGGCUUACCAAGGCUUUGACGGGUAGCCGGCCUGAGAGGGUGACCGGCCACAUUGGGACUGAGAUACGGCCCAGACUCCUACGGGAGGCAGCAGUGGGGAAUAUUGCACAAUGAGCGGAAGCCUGAUGCAGCAACGCCGCGUGCGGGAUGACGGCCUUCGGGUUGUAAACCGCUUUCGCCUGUGACGAAGCGUGAGUGACGGUAAUGGGUAAAGAAGCACCGGCUAACUACGUG